CCUACGGGUGGCAGCAGUGGGGGAUAUUGGGCAAUGGGGGCAACCCUGAUCCAGCGACGCCGCGUGAGUGAAGAAGUAUCUCGGGAUGUAAAGUUCUAUCAACAGGGAAGAGGAGAUGACGGUACCUGAGGAAGAAGCCCCGGCUAACUACGUGCCAGCAGCCGCGGUAAUACGUAGGUGGCAAGCGUUAUCCGGAAUUACUGGGUGUAAAGGGAGUGUAGACGGGGAUGUAAGUCUGGAGUGAAAGGCGGGGGCCCAACCCCCGGACUGCUUUUGAAACUAUGUGUCUGGAGUGUAGGAGAGGUGAGCGGAAUUCCUAGUGUAGCGGUGAAAUGCGUAGAUAUUAGGAGGAACACCAGUGGCGAAGGCGGCUCACUGGACUGUAACUGACGUUGAGGCGCGAAAGCGUGGGGAGCAAACAGGAUUAGAUACCCCUGUAGUC
rnacentral:rRNA from 1 species